UCCUCCAGCGCACGCGCUUCUCAGCUCGGCUCUGCCUCUCUCGAUCUCCUCUCCAAACCCUAACUCUAACCACCAACCUCCACUCCCUGCCGCGCCGCCGCCUCCGCUCCCUACCGCGCCGCCGCCUCCGCUCGCCCUCGCGCCGUCGCAUCGCCUCCUCCUCCUCGCCAUCUCGGUGCUCACCGAGAGGAGCACGGCUCGCCGCCGCAGCUACUCCGCGUCGCUGCUCUCCCGUUGAGCUCGCGCGUCCCCAUCGCCUGGAGAAGCGGAGGCUGCAGCUCCUGCAUCUGCUCGGCCCUCUUUCCCUUGUCGCCGCCUGGUGGGUACUGGCUCGAAGGUGAAGAGGUACACCAGCAGUUGGAUCAAGACUAUAUGAGGUGAUGACAAACUGUGUAAUCUUUAGAUCCACUUGACCAUAGCAAGUAUCUGCAAGGUCAGAUUCUUGUGUCACUUGCUUAUAUCCGAUGAAGAGAGUCUACUUCGUACAGAUGUUUCAUUUUACCUAGGGAUAAAAAGUGCAAUGUAAAGGUUCAUUAAACAAUCUGAACUUAUAUCUAUCAUUUAGGUGCUGAAUUUGUCUAUUUGAACUUUAUUGGUACUGAAGUUAUCUCGAUGACUGAUAUUCAUUGAUGUAACAUGUGCUGGGAUAAAUAAUAUACAAGUGGAUAUGAGGGAUAGAUAAUACAAUAGAUGAGGGUGAGCUUCAGAUUUUUGAGAAGUGUUUUUAAUGAUAACUAAAUUCUUUCAAAGUAAGGGAAUGAUUUAAACUUCUGUCGUAAACAAUGGUGUGCCUCACUCAUUUGGAUUUGAAAUUAUUGGAUUGAGUUGAUAUGAUGCGAUAUAAGGAAAUAGUCAUCUGCACGUAUACUAAUGUAGAUACAGUCUCUUUGCAACAGAAGUAUUUAAGGAUUUUUUUUGUUUCAUUUGUGGCACAAGGGAAGCCAUGGUUGAUGAUUCCUUGCCUUUCCAGUGCUUGGGCGCACCUAGCAGCUGCUUCACGCCUCCUGAGAAUGCCGGUAUCUCUUACUUAGGUUGGUGCUGUACGGCUUGGUUGAGCUCAAAAUUCAAUGGAGACGGCAAUUGUCAGUUUUGGGCGUCGUCUGUUCAAUUUUACCGAACUCCUGAACACCGUAUAUUUGUAUGGCAACAGCUGGUGAAGCAGCUUGGAUCUCAUUGGCUCAUCAUGAGGUAUAUACUGGAUAUGUCCCUAUGGAUUACAGAGAAUAUCUUAAGAAGAUGCCAAAGUCAGUGCCUGCUCCUUUUCACUAUUUAUUUACCAGUAAAUAUUUAUCAAUUAGAGUGGAAGGAUGAACUGUCCUUACAUUUCUAUGCUUAUUACUGAACCAACUAGAGAUGGACAGUGAGGUGAUCAUGUUACACUGCAGGCUGCCACGGACUUGGUAGCAUGUUUCUUCCUCAUCUUAUUAUAUUACCAAUCUGUCGCACCUGUAUGUACAUUCUCAGGGUAUCUAUGUAGUGCAUAUAGUUCAUGAUUGACUAAUAGUAAUUUAGUUUUGACUGCCAUCAUAUCAGAAUAGUUAGAUUGCAGUUUCAAUCAUAAAUAGCUCAGUUUAUGAUUGAACUAUUGCUGCUGUCCAAGACCUUUCGAUUUUAUAUCCAGGUGAUCUUUCUGUUGGACUUUCUGAUCCUCCUAGCUGCACCUUGGCGAAGUCUGUCGGAAUUUCUAAUUCUGAUGACGAUCAGUACGUGUGAUGGUCCAUUAAUCAUCUUGUUGAAAGUGCAUUUUUAAAAGAAACUUCCGCAUGGUUAAAUAAUACACAUGAGGACAUGUGGUUUAGUUGAUUUGGUCUUACACAUAUUAUGGAUUUCUGGUUUAGAUACCGGAAUCGCUGAUAAAUACCACGCCUAGCCUCUGUUUCCCUUCCUUAGCUAACAGUGCUACGCACACGUUUAUGGCAUUCCUGUCUACCCUGAAGCAAAAUAAAGGAAAAGCCCGUGGUAAAAGGCUUGUAUAUGGCCCAAUCAAUUAAACAUUGACAUGGCGGAAGCCGAAUAUAUGGUUCUUCCAGUUAUUAGUUACCCUUUUGCAUUCUCAGAGCAAUUGAAUUAAUAUGAUGAUAAAAUGUACUAACCAGUUAAGUACCAUGGUUUCAGAACCAUAUUCUGAUAUUCAUACAGGCAAAUCAUUUUGAGGCGAAGAACCGGAUGUCUUUUUCCUCAAAGUAACUUAAACCAAGCUACCGGUCCUAUAGCUUGGGGUCUCAUUGCGCAUGCGUAUCUACUGUAGUGUGCUGUUGUUUGUUUUGUACAACUUAUAAGAUACUCUGCACAUGCAUAUGAUGCCUAUGAAUGUAAGAUCAUGUAGCAAUGUUUUUUUUCCUUCUUUCCAGGAGAGCCUUUAGCUGCUAACAAACAUUGUGUUGUUUAUUGUGUGAGAGUUUUGAGCAGAGGAACCAAGUAGAAACUGCCCAGGCCUUACUUGUGUUGAUGUGAUGCCUUAGCAUAUAUGAUUUCAAAUCAAACAUUGUUAUAUCUUCUAAAUCAGUGUUUCCCAUCACACAACAUAAAUUAGUGAUUCAAAUUGAUAUGGGAGUGCUCUAAGAAAUUGCCUAAUGUUCGAAACAAUUAGUGGUUCAAAUUGCAAUAUAUUGUAAACGAUUUAUUGUUUUAGGAAUGUUACCAGGGUUUGAGAUUCAAUUGGUGAGGUCGGAUUUACUUUUAUAUUGUUUGGGUCAUGUUUACAUGUUUUUCUUGGUUGCAAGUGCUCUACAAUUUUAUAUUGACCGCACUUAUAAUGCUUAGAGAAUUCCAAGCACGAAACCAUGGUAUGCACAGUUGGUUAGACCUUCAAAAUUAUAUGGUCUCCAGCUCAUCAACUCUUUGAAAAUAAAAGGUCUGCCAGAACACUUUGCCCUCUUUUAUCAUGUUGGUUCACUUCUUUUCUAUACCACUUGCUCUUUUGAUACCUCAUUCUACAUGUGCCUAAUAAGUACUGCAUCUUCCAUCAGUAUUCGCAUAUGGUUGAGAUGAAAAGUUGCAUCUAAUAUCAUGUAGCUCCAGUCAGAGUUUUCUGGUCCAGUACUUGCCAGGGAAUACUUACCUUGCCAUUUGGUGUGAUUAUGUGCUCUUAUGGGGCUGGUUUUGUUGUAGAUUGGUGAACUCAAGAGGCUGUUGGAGGGAGGUCAAGUAUGUUGGGUUAUAGAGGCGAGCCCCGACACCAUCAGGCAUUCUUACAUUGUGCACCUGAUCUCUACCAUGUAGAUGGAAUGGUCUAUGUGGGCUUGCCCGAGAUUGCCCCUCUCUGCAGGUGAAUUGGGACUUUACAAACUCGACUUUUGUGCUUCCAUAAUCAAUAGUCCUGAUUGAAUGAGUUGUAUCGGUUAUGUAAACUCGCUUCAUGCGUGACUUACUGUGCACAUAUAAGCUAUGCUAUAUUGUUCAUACACUUCCUAUUCCUGUGACUCAUCAUCUGGAUGGUAGAGUAAUAAUUAGUUGUGACGUUUGUUGGUAUAAUAUAUUGAACCUCCUUUUGGUA